AUGGAGAUCGGGGGGCAGCACCCGGCGAGCAGCUGCUCCAAGGAGCACCAGAAGAUCUACCGCGACUGGUUCGCCCUCGCCGACUCAGAUGGCGACGGCCGCAUCACCGGCCCCGACGCCAUCAGGUUCUUCGCCAUGUCCAGCCUCCCCCGCGCCGACCUCAAGCAGGUCUGGGCCAUCGCCGACUCCAAGCGGCUGGGGUACCUCGGCUUCGGCGAGUUCAUCACGGCAAUGCAGCUCGUCUCUCUGGCGCAGGCGGGGAACGAGAUAUCCCAGGACAGCCUUCAGCGCGAAGAUCUAAUCAGCUUCAAUCCCCCAGUGAUGGAGGGUUUGGAUGCUCAACUUGCCAAAUCCAAGCAUCUGGCAAAGAGGGUCGAUCAGGAUAUGGAUGGAUUUCCUCAGGCACAAGGACCUUCUACUAACCAUUGGUUCAACUCUAAGUCAUCCAAGAAGAUACCCCUGACUGCUGUUACUUCUGUCAUUGAUGGUUUAAAAAGGCUGUACAUCGAAAAAUUGAAGCCUUUGGAAGUUACAUACAAAUUCAAUGAUUUUGUGUCCCCGUUACUGACAAAUAGUGAUUUUGAUGCAAAGCCAAUGGUUAUGCUCUUAGGUCAAUAUUCUACAGGAAAAACUACUUUCAUCAAGCAUCUGCUCAAAACAAGCUAUCCAGGUGCCCAUAUUGGUCCGGAGCCGACAACCGACAGAUUUGUUGUUGUCAUGUCAGGACCUGAUGAAAGGACUAUCCCUGGGAAUACUUUAGCUGUUCAAGCAGAUAUGCCUUUUAGUGGUCUCACAACAUUUGGGACUUCGUUUUUGUCCAAGUUCGAAUGCUCUCAGAUGCCACAUCCACUACUAGAGCAUAUCACGUUUGUCGACACACCUGGUGUUCUUUCUGGUGAAAAGCAACGGACACAACGUAGUUAUGAAUUCACAGGUGUUACAUCAUGGUUUGCUGCCAAGUGUGACCUUAUCCUGCUUCUGUUUGAUCCUCAUAAGCUUGAUAUCAGCGAUGAGUUUAAACGUGUCAUCGGAUCUUUACGUGGACAUGAUGACAAAAUACGUGUAGUUCUAAACAAGGCCGACCAAAUUGACACUCAACAGCUUAUGAGAGUGUAUGGUGCACUUAUGUGGUCUCUUGGUAAAGUAUUGAAUACCCCUGAGGUGUCGCGCGUUUAUAUUGGAUCGUUCAAUGAUAAGCCAGUAAAGGAAUCAGCUGUUGGCCCGAUCGGAAAGGAACUAUUUGAGAAAGAGCAGGAUGAUCUCCUUUCUGAUCUAAAAGAUAUACCAAAGAAAGCUUGUGACCGCAGGAUCAAUGAAUUCGUCAAACGUGCUAGGGCUGCCAAGAUACAUGCUUAUAUAAUUGGGCAUCUAAAGAAUCAAAUGCCUACGAUGAUGGGGAAAGCUAAAGCCCAGCAGAAACUUAUAGACAAUUUGGAGGGCGAGUUUGCAAAGGUGCAAAGGGAACAUCAUCUCCCCGCGGGGGAUUUCCCUUACGUCGAGCACUUCAGAGAAGCAUUGGGCGGGUACAGCAUCGACAGGUUCGAGAAGGUGAAGCCCAAGAUGAUCCAGGCGGUGGACGACAUGCUCGGGUACGACAUCCCGGAGCUGCUCAAGAACUUCAGGAACCCUUACGAGUGA
rnacentral:rRNA from 1 species